rnacentral:rRNA from 2 species
CUCUGCAUCCAGAGACUUUCCAGAGAUGCUUUGGUCGCCUUCGGAACUCUGAGACAGGUGCUGCAUGGUGUCGUCAGCUCGUGUUGUGAAAUGUUGGGUUAAGUCCCGCAACGAGCGCAACCCUUAUCCUUUGUUGCCAGCGUCCGGCCGGGAACUCAAAGGAGACUGCCAGUGAUAAACUGGAGGAAGGUGGGGAUGACGUCAAGUCAUCAUGGCCCCUUACGAGUAGGGCUACACACGUGCUACAAUGGCGCAUACAAAGAGAAGCGACCUCGCGAAGAGCAAGCGGACCUCAUAAAGUGCGUCGUAGUCCGGGAUUGGAGUCUGCAACUCGACUCCAUGAAGUCGGAAUCGCUAGUAAUCGUAGAUCAGAAUGCUACGUGAUACGUCCCGGGUCUGUACACCACGGAGA